rnacentral:rRNA from 1 species
UACAGAGGUCCCAAGCGUUGUUCGGAUUUAUUGGGCGUAAAGGGCGCGUAGGCGGCCACUGCAAGUCAGUUGUGAAAUCUCCGGGCUUAACCCGGAAAGGUCAACUGAUACUGCAGGGCUAGAGUGCAGAAGGGGCAACUGGAAUUCUCGGUGUAGCGGUGAAAUGCGUAGAUAUCGAGGGGAAUACCAGUGGCGAAAGCGGCACCCUAGCGUUAGCCUGACGCUCAUGUGCGAAAGCGUGGGGAGCGAACGGG